GGGCUCGGCGCGGACCCGCCCGGGCGCACUCCUCCCAGUGGCUCUCGGCGUCCCGGCGUCCCGCCGCCCUGCCCGGAGCCGGCCGCGGUCCCCUCUACCCCUGAGGGCACUCCCGGCACCCAGCACAGAGGCUCGCCCGGGGAGGUCGCGACGGGAGGCUGGCCCGCGGUGGCCCGCGGCUCGCCUACCCGCAGGUGUUCCUUUGAUACAGUGGAUGGUGACUCUGCUGUUCUGCCUGGGAGUGGUUCAAAAUGCUGACCACACUCCUGCUCCUGUUCCUGACCCAAGGAAGCCCCCAUGCAGAGCACCCGUGUCCUCUCUGAAUGGGACCAGCAGCUGGAUGCUGAGUACCAAUAGCAUCUGCCCUAUACCGAAUCCGAGGAAGGCCCUGAAGGUCCAGUAACUUGCCUUAGGGACACAGGUAAGACGGGACAGGGUCCAAAUGCACACUCAGUCCCACCUGUUUCCAAAGUCCUGGGGCCCAAUUAUGGUGCUAUCCAGCCACCUACCAGUCCAUACUGUAUUCCAGGGAACAGGCCUUGGGACUGCAGAGUUGGGGGCCCUCGAGGCCACCUGCUCAGGGCUGUCCCUCAACAGGUGAGGAAUCUGAAUAAGGGAGAAGCACAUAGGCUCAGCCACGUCCACCCGGGGAAGUUGGUGGCAGAGCCAGAGCAGAACCUGGGUGCCCUCUCCACCUUGGCUCUGAUAGAUCGUGAACCUCACAGGUAUGAUGAGGAUUCAGAGUUAGAGUAUACAAAGUACGUAGGACAGCACGAGGCCUGGACGUCCACAUCCUGCAGCCCCUGCCACCAAACUGUUCACCUGGGGAUCCUGCCUGACACAAGCAACCUGCAUGUGGUAGAAACCCUCAGCUUGGCAGAACUGCAGACCACAGCAGCCCCAGUGUCCAUGUUAUAGCCAAUGUCCCAGUAGAGAUUCUUUCACCAUAGAUGUAAGAAUCCAGACACUUCUGAAUUCGAAAACCAUGGUGAUUUAUGUGGUAUGGCCACGAUUGAUAAAAUAUUCAAAGUUCUAUCUAUCUCCCCCAACUCCAGCAAGAACUUUGGCAGAACUUCUGUGCCACAGGCAGUACUAAGGAACUUGCCAAUUUUGCAUCCUCAAAAUAAAACAGGUUCCAAGAUAGGUGGCAGAAAGUGGAAAAUGCAAUAUUUCUUGAUUGGGUAACUAAGAACCAUGCAGCAGGCAGGAACCAUUUGAGGCCAGAGAAAUGUUCAUUUAAAGGUGUUUACUGACACCUGGAGAUAGAGGUUAAACUGCAAAUGCUACUUUUAUGUUUGUUUGUGUUACAUAAUUUCAUAAUGGUGGUACAGUCCAGGGCAGCUACCAAAAUGAAAAUUCCAAAGUCAUAAUUUUACUGCUGCGUUUCUCCAGCAGAGACUUUCUAUACCUCCCAGGUGAAUCUUAGGAAGAGCCCUGGAGGGCAGCUGCCAGCCGAAGGGCAGGGCGGGGCGCUGUUUUCACCAUGACCACCUGAUCUCUUCUCAGCUCUGCUUGGUGUGCACGACUGCUCCACUCGUCCGCGUUAACUCUCAUGAUGUGUUUGGGAUGCGCUCCCCCUCUUUGUAGGACUGAGUCAGGGAGAUGUUCUCCCUCCUCGGAGGAUUCCAUUCUGAGCCCAGUCGCCUUAGUAGAUGCGGGAGCUACUCCACGUGGCCUUUGAGGUCUGGGUACCCUGGGCAAAUUGAGAGGGAGGGGGUCUUGGCAGAGUAACCACUCAGAACUCAAGGUAAGAACCGUCCAUCUCUGGUUUUUGUGUUUGGCAGUAGAGGCAUGGGAACCCCUGCAUUCCUCGCAUAUGAGUAUCAGGACUUGAGGAAAAGUCUGUACUCAGAACUUGGUUGCCAGUGGGGAGGGGGGAGGGGGAGGUAGAGGUAGGGGAUUAAGAGGUACAAACUGUUGGGUAUAAAAUGAGCUACAAGAGGCGUUCCCUUCGUGGCUCAGCAGUUAAUGAACAUGACUAGGAUCCAUGAGGAUGUGGGUUUGAUCCCUGGCCUCGCUCAGUGGGUUAAGGAUCUGGCUUAGGUGUAGAUCACAGAUGCAGCUCCAAUCCCAUGCUGCUGUGGCUGUGGUGUCAGCUGGCAGCUCUAGCUCCGAUUCUACCCCUAGCCUGGGAACUUCCAUAUGCCGUGGAUGUGGCCCUAAAAAGACAAAAAUAAGCUAGAAGGAUAUAUUGUACAAUAUGGGGAAUAUGGCACAUAUUUUAUAUAUAUUUCAAAAUUGCAAAUCACUAUAUUGCACACCUCUAGGAGUUCCCACUGUGGUGCAAUGGGAUCGGUGGUGUCCCGGAGCACCAGGACACAGGUUUGAUCCCCAGCCCAGCACAGUGGGUUAAGGAUCCAGCACUGCCGCAACUGUGGCACAGAUUCAAUCCCUGGCCUGGGAACUCCAUACAUGGGGUGGCCAAAAAAGAAAACAAAAUAAAAACCUAUACUUAUAAAAAGGAAAAGAAAAAUUAAGUAAAAAAUUGUUUAAAAAUUUUUUUUAAAACUUAUAUAUUAGGUUACUGUUCAACCUCCUAGGGUGGGGAAAACGCAAGCCAUGAGGGGUCGUAUUUCCCUCAGAGGGUUGUUGAAGGCAUAGACCCCUUUCCCAGACAAGCAUCAUUGCACAGAUGAGUGCAGGGCUCCUGAGAGCCACUGAUACCCACCCCUGACCCCAGGGCAAUAGGAAAGCUGGCAAAGGACACAACAACAACAAAAAAA
rnacentral:lncRNA from 1 species